UACGAAGGGGGCUAGCGUUGCUCGGAAUCACUGGGCGUAAAGGGUGCGUAGGCGGGUCUUUAAGUCAGGGGUGAAAUCCUGGAGCUCAACUCCAGAACUGCCUUUGAUACUGAAGAUCUUGAGUUCGGGAGAGGUGAGUGGAACUGCGAGUGUAGAGGUGAAAUUCGUAGAGAUCAUGAGGAAGACCAGUGGCGAAGGCGGGUCUCUGGACAGUUCCUGACACUGAGGCACGAAGGCCAGGGGAGCAAACGGG
rnacentral:rRNA from 1 species